CGCAUCUGUGCAUGCAGCAUAUCAAUAAGCGGAGGAAAAGUAACUAACAAGGAUUCCCCUAGUAACGGCGAGUGAAGCGGGAAGAGCUCAAAUUUGAAAUCUUAAAGGGUUUCCCUUUACGAAUUGUAGUUUAAAGAAGUGCUUUCUGUUGAGGUUUUGGUAAAAGUUCUUUGGAAUAGGACAUCAUAGAGGGUGAGAAUCCCGUAUUUGACCUUUACUUUCAACUUUGUGAUACACUUUCAAAGAGUCGGAUUGUUUGGGAAUGCAGUCCAAAAUGGGUGGUAAAUUUCAUCUAAAGCUAAAUAUUGGCGAGAGACCGAUAGCGAACAAGUACCGUGAGGGAAAGAUGAAAAGAACUUUGAAAAGAGAGUUAAACAGUACGUGAAAUUGUCAAAAGGGAAGCGUUUGACACCAGUGUUGUUUUUCUGAAAAUCAAUUAAAGAACUGUUUAUGCUAAGUUGUUUAGACUUUAUCAGGCUAACUGUUUAGUUUUGAGCUUUUCUUUAAUGCACUUUUCAGUUAACAAGUCAACAUCAAUUUCUUUUGCUGUAAAAAAGCUUGAGGAAGGUGGCUUGAGAUUCGUCUUAAGUGUUUAUAGCCUCUUGCCUAUGCAGUCGGAGAGAUUGAGGUCUGCAGCGUAGAUCCUUCGGGGCUAAAUGCAUUUGUGCUAAGUUAUAGCAUUUUAUAGACAACUUGUUGACUCAUGAUUUGUCUUGUAGCUUACUCGCUUAUGUUAUUUUACCUACGCUUAGGAUGUUGAAUCUGUGCGAGACUAC
rnacentral:rRNA from 1 species